ACGGGAGGCGCAGCUAAGAAUAUUCCGCAAUGGACGAAAGUCUGACGGAGCGACGCCGCGUGGAUGAUGAAGGUCGGAAGAUUGUAAAAUCCUUUUAUAACUGAGGAAUAAGCUGGAGAGUGGAAAGCUCUGGUGGUGACUGUAGGUUAUGAAUAAGCAACGGCUAAUUACGUGCCAGCAGCCGCGGUAACACGUAAGUUGCGAGCGUUGUUCGAAAUUAUUGGGCGUAAAGGACAUGUAGGCGGUUUUGCAAGCUUGAUGUGAAAGGCAGGAGCUUAACUCCUGGACUGCGUUGAGAACUGCAUGACUAGAGUCACUGAGGGGCAAUCAGAAUUCCUGGUGUAGGGGUGAAAUCUGUAGAUAUCAGGAAGAAUACCAAUGGCGAAGGCAGGUUACCAGCAGAUGACUGACGCUGAGGUGUGAAGGUGCGGGGAGCAAACAGGAUUAGAUACCCUGGUA
rnacentral:rRNA from 1 species